UACAGAGGUCUCAAGCGUUGUUCGGAUUCAUUGGGCGUAAAGGGUGUGUAGGUGGCGCCGUAAGUCGGGUGUGAAAUUUCGGAGCUUAACUCCGAAACUGCAUUCGAUACUGCGGUGCUUGAGGACUGGAGAGGAGACUGGAAUUCAUGGUGUAGCAGUGAAAUGCGUAGAGAUCAUGAGGAAGACCAGUGGCGAAGGCGGCUUCCUGGACCGAUUCUGACACUGAGGAACGAAAGCGUGGGGAGCGAGCCGG
rnacentral:rRNA from 1 species